rnacentral:rRNA from 18 species
GGCAAACGAGGGGAACUGAAACAUCUAAGUACCCUUAGGAAAAGAAAUCAACCGAGAUUCCCCUAGUAGCGGCGAGCGAACGGGGAGCAGCCCUUAAGCUGUUUAGAAUUUAGUGGAAUCCUUUGGGAAGAGGAGCGAUACAAGGUGAUAGCCCUGUACACGACGGAUUCUUUACAGUGAAAUCGAGUAGGUCGGGACACGUGUUAUCUUGACUGAAUAUGGGGGGACCAUCCUCCAAGGCUAAAUACUCCUGACUGACCGAUAGUGAACCAGUACCGUGAGGGAAAGGUGAAAAGCACCCCGGAAGGGGAGUGAAAGAGAUCCUGAAACCGUGUGCCUACAAGUAGUCAGAGCCCGUUAACGGGUGAUGGCGUGCCUUUUGUAGAAUGAACCGGCGAGUUACGAUUUGAUGCAAGGUUAAGCAGUAAAUGUGGAGCCGUAGCGAAAGCGAGUCUGAAUAGGGCGCCCUAGUUCGUUGGAUUAGACCCGAAACCGAGUGAUCUAGCCAUGGC